rnacentral:piRNA from 1 species
UGGUGCUCUCUGCUGGCAUGCAG